rnacentral:rRNA from 1 species
UACGGGGGGGGCAAGCGUUGUUCGGAAUUACUGGGCGUAAAGGGCGCGUAGGCGGUUUGUUAAGUCUGUUGUGAAAUCCCCGAGCUCAACUUGGGAAUUGCAAUGGAUACUGGCAGGCUGGAGUAUGGUAGAGGAAGGUGGAAUUCCCGGUGUAGCAGUGAAAUGCGUAGAGAUCGGGAGGAACACCAGUGGCGAAGGCGGCCUUCUGGACCAAUACUGACGCUCAUGCACGAAAGCGUGGGGAGCAAACAGG